ACCUCAUGAUCUACCUGCCUCGGCCGCCCAAAGUGCUGGGAUUACAGGCGUGAUCCACCAUGCCCAGCCUCCUUUUUCUUAAGAUCCACUUAAGAUCUAGUUAGUAGGAUAUUAACUUGCAAGAUCUUCCCUUUCCAUAGUACUGACUACUGGUAAAUCUACUUUUAGAUUCUCCCAAACUUCUACGUUUGUGUUUGGUAGAAAAGAUACUUUAAUUAAACUGGUCAAACAUUUUUACUACAUGGAUCCAAGACUGGAACAAUAGUGGCUUUAGAUUUCCACAUUUAUGAAAGGUGACUCAGAAAGUUAGCAUGCAACAGUCAAGCUAAAGGAAUCUGAGAGAUAAUUUAGUCCAAAUUCCUUAGUUGACAGAGAGGAAUUGAGGUACAGGGAAGGAAGGUGAUGUGCUUUGGAUUAAUUAGCAUGUCUAAUUAAUAAUAAAAUGUGGUAGAAACUCAGGUCUUCUAGUUUGCAGAAACACUUGAAAGCUCCACUCUGCCUCCUGAAGAGCUGGACUCAGCGGGAGGGCAGACCUUACAGGGAACAGGGAGUGGAGGGAUGGCCGCCCAUUGACAGUCGAGCGUUAGCAAGUGGGAGGAGAUAUCUGGCUUCUCCAUUCCUUCUUUUUUUCUCUUUCUGGUUUUGCUAAUUUAUUUAAAAAUUACAUUUGUUCAAGUCAAAUUAGCACUUGAUACUCAUUGUUGGAUUUCUUUAGGUCAUCCUGCUGCUCUCUCGGUUUCCCAGGGGUUUGUGCGUCUGCCUUGUGCUAUGCAUUUUCCCACGGCCUUGUUGGUUCCUUCCACAGAGGCAAAUCAGAGACAAGAGACAUCUUUUCCAAAACUCCAUCAAAAUGACAGAGCCUUGGCAUGGCCUUCCCCACCUCCUGCAGAUUCUGUGUCACACAGCUCACGGUGGACAGUUUGCCGGCUCUUGGGCAUGGCGAAAGAACGAUCUUUGGAAGAUCAGGGAAGCCCAGAAGUUCACAGAAAAGAAAGCUCUCAAAUUCUUCUUGCAACAGUGAUGCCAAAUCCGACUUAGGGCAGGUGCUUACUCCUCGGCUCUAUCACUGCGGACAGGAAGAUGGGGUACCACUGCUGGUGAAGCUUUGGUUCGUGUUCCCUCCACUUAGGCCAGCUUCCUGACCAUGAUGUCUGCCAUGUGCACAUUCACGAAGUUACAGUUCAGUGCAGAGAAAGACAUGUGUACAGAUACUUUUGGUGUUAUUCAUGUGCUAUAAUAGAAUGAUCAAGAAACUUGGAGGAGCAGAAGAGAAAGCACCUCAUUCUGCUUGCACAAGCUGAACACUUCAGGGAGGCUUCACGGAGGAGGUGUUUAAGAUGAUGCCUGCUUCCCCUUCCGCCAUAACUGUAAGCUUCCUGAGGCCUCCCCUGCCGUGUGGAACUGUGUAAAUUCUAGAGUCUCAUCACUGGGAGCACACAGCAGGCAAUGGUCAUGAAAACAUCUCUAUCCAGGUCCUCUGGGGAUCGUCCUCUCCCUUUAGAGCCUGGUGGCUUGUCACUCCGUGGUCCUCUCCUGGGCGCCACACCAGUGCACAAAUGCUGCACAGAUUCCUGCGGGUGCACAUGGAACCUGGGCUCACGAUCAAAGAGAAUUCUCAGCCUGUCUACCAGUGUUCAAAGUUCAGACUUCAGACUACCAAGUUUUCAUCAACUGUUAUUUCCAUAACUCCCGCUAUUUCUCUUUUUUUCUUGCAAGAAGAGACUUCACAAUCUACACAAAUUUAGAGGUGUGACUCUUCAAUUCUGCAAAAUUCUUAACUCCUGCCAGUUCUGGAAAUCCUUGUGGUCUCAGCAGAAUUCUGGAGCUUUCUUACUUCAUGCCCACGUACCUACAUGUGGACUACAAGGACUUCUGUUAUCUCAGGCUGAUUUACCUUUUCCCUAGAUCAUCAAUAGCACAGCUUAAAACACUGUCUCAGCCUGGCAUGGUGGCUCAUGCCUGUAAUCCCAGCACUUCGAGAGGCCAAGAUUGAAAUUGACCAUUGCUUCCAGACAUGUGUGGGAGUCCAGAAUAUGCCACUCCAAAAGAAGGAUUGUUGAGCUGAAGACCAUUAAGAAGAAACAGAUGCAGAAAAGCUCGCUGCCCUGCAUUUGCUUAAAUACAGGACAGAGAUUUACAAAGAUAAAAGGCAUCCUGCCCCUGUCUCUUACCGGGGAGAACAAAGGUUAACCACUGAAGACAGUUUUAGACCAUUAUCUGCCAGGAGUUGGAGCCAGAGGAAUCUACCUGAACAUGCAUUACCAACUCGCCUUUAUCUGCCAGUUACUUGCUUCCCUGCUGACAAGCCCCCUCUAGAGACCCAAAGUCCUUUUCCUUUGUCCUGUCACUUCUCUAAAAAUCACUAUUCUUUGUUGAAGAUGCUAUACAAGCUGGAGUUCAAAGCUACUUCUUUGAGAACUACUCCUUCCCUGGGUGUCUGCCGUGUAGAUGUGAAAUAUACAUGUAAAUAAACUUG